rnacentral:lncRNA from 1 species
AGUCACAGCUGUGGUUAGGGAUAUUUAUACGUUGGGUAUUAGUAGGAUGGAAGUGAUGAAGGGAGAGAGGCCAAUUAGGCCAUGAUUGCUCUGAGGAUGGGAAGUACGUGAAUGUGGAAUCUUGGGGCAAUAGAACGGACAGAACGUAGUGUAGCAAAGCUUCUCUCCAUAACGUUCCUCUGGCCAAGUGAGAAACAUGAAGAUUAGAAGUGCAGCACAUGCCUUCUGAAGAAGCCAGGCAUGGAACAGUUCUGGGAACACAGCACUGAUAAAACUCUUAGGGAUGAAUUUACCUAUACCUGUGUUUCAGCCUUGUGAUCUGAGUAUUGUUUGAGACCUACAUAAGUUGCCAUUGGCAAUCAUCAUUUGUGCAGUUUAAAAUCUGAGGACUCUAGCGG